CAGCAGCCACGGUAAUACGUAGGGUGCGAGCGUUAAUCGGAAUUACUGGGCGUAAAGCGUGCGCAGGCGGUUAUAUAAGACAGAUGUGAAAUCCCCGGGCUCAACCUGGGACCUGCAUUUGUGACUGUAUAGCUAGAGUACGGUAGAGGGGGAUGGAAUUCCGCGUGUAGCAGUGAAAUGCGUAGAUAUGCGGAGGAACACCGAUGGCGAAGGCAAUCCCCUGGACCCGUACUGACGCUCAUGCACGAAAGCGUGGGGAGCAAACAGGAUUAGAUACCCCAGUAGUCCCUGUCUCUUAUAC
rnacentral:rRNA from 1 species